rnacentral:tRNA from 1 species
GGGGCUAUAGCUCAGCUGGUAGAGCGCUUGCAUGGCAUGCAAGAGGUCGGCGGUUCGAUCCCGCUUAGCUCCACC